UGGUCCUACGGGAGGCAGCAGUGGGGGAUAUUGGACAAUGGGGGAAACCCUGAUCCAGCGAUGCCGCGUGAGGGAAGAAGGUUUUCGGAUUGUAAACCUCUGUGGAGGGGGACGAUAAUGACGGUACCCCUUUAGGAAGCCACGGCUAACUACGUGCCAGCAGCCGCGGUAAUACGUAGGGAGCAAGCGUUAUCCGGAUUUAUUGGGUGUAAAGGGUGCGUAGACGGGAAAUUAAGUUAGUUGUGAAAUCCCUCGGCUUAACUGAGGAACUGCAGCU
rnacentral:rRNA from 1 species